GAACCGUGCGAACGUUGUUCGGAAUCACUGGGCUUAAAGGGCGCGUAGGCGGCCCAUCAAGUCCGGGGUGAAAGCCUCCAGCUCAACUGGAGAAGUGCCUUGGAUACUGGUGGGCUCGAGCGAGGUAGGGGCAGCUGGAACUUCCGGUGGAGCGGUGAAAUGCGUUGAUAUCGGAAGGAACGCCGGUGGCGAAAGCGAGCUGCUGGACCUCUCCUGACGCUGAGGCGCGAAAGCUAGGGUAGCGAACGGGAUUAGAUACCCCGGUAGUCCUAGCCCUAAACGAUGGGUACUAGAUUGUAGGCUUACAUGGGUUUACAGUCGAAGCAAAAGUGAUAAGUACCCCGCCUGGGGAGUAUGGUCGCAAGGCUGAA
rnacentral:rRNA from 1 species